GCCAUGGCUUAGUGGCAGAGUAUUUGCUUGGCGUGCAGAAGGUCCCAAGAUCAAUCCCUGGCGUGGGUA
rnacentral:tRNA from 1 species